GAACAUAAUAUGUAAAUAUCUAAUUAGAUCUGGUUGCCUAAUAAUUCAACGGUCUGUUUUAUAAACGAGACUUAUAAAAGGUGUACUCUAGUUCUUGGUUAUUAUAAUUUCGAUUUUUACUAGAUAUACAACUAGAACUAGUGCAGAUGAUCCAAACACCAUUUUCCAUGGCCGAUCCCUCCGCAUGGUCGACUUCGUCAAAUGUUAAGCGCUUUAGCAUUUGUCAAUUGCAACCUAAACAACGUGCUUUACUAUGCGUGGGGAAGUGCCUGGCAAGCUUCAUAAUGUUAACGUUGAUGAUCAAGCAAUUCACUAUUGAAAUUUGGUUGCGCGCUUGUCUAGUGUGAAACAUAUGGCGACGAUAAAGAGCACCUGCAAAGGUGUAUGCAACAUUGCUCCAACAAUCACUGCGUCUUCAAGUAUCUUUCCCCUCUUCCAUAAUUGCUGCAAUAGUGCUUCUGCAACAUCAAAGCUCCUAGCCUUCAUAUAUGUACAAUAUAUCGAAGUGGUUGUAUUGAAAUAAGUCUAUGAUCAUUAUAUCAUGGAAGGGAUUGCUCCGACAGUGCUUCUGCAUACAUAAUUUGUAUACAAAACCUUACAAAUGGCAAAUUUUGUAAAUUUGACAUCAAAAUUUGGGCUAUAUUUAGUUA